CUUCGAUGUCGACAUUUGAUUUUGGUAAACUUGCUGCGUCACAGUUUUCAUAUCGGUUAUUCUUGGAUCUUUUGCAGGACAUUCCCGUGGCAGAUUGACCAAAGUAUUGUAAAAGAUAUUCUCAUCCAGCUUCAUCACACGGACAUUCCCGUGGCAGAUUGACCAAAGUAUUGUAAACAUAUUCUCACCCAGCUUCAGCACACGGGCAUUUGCGAGACGUUUUGACACCACGAUUUGAAUGAAAGACAUUUCUUCUUUGGCCUUUGUUUCGUUAUAAUUUGAUUGAUUUAGAGGAUCUUUGUAUGUUUAUUGUAAAGUUGAAGGAUAAUUCAAGAUUUUGCAUCCUGCUCUCAAAUAGUUUCAGCGAUUGAUAGGACCCCUAUUUCAUAGAUUUUCAUACCCUACUUCCAAUUGGAUUUUUACGAGGAUGUUUAUGAAACACACGGUUCCCUCAUUGUACUUUUACAGAGUUUGCCCCCUAUGCGUUAUAAACAUCUAUUAGAUUUUGCUUUAAAUGUGCUAUUUAACUUUGGAGGAUCCUCAACUCUAGCCAUUUAUUGUUACCAAUCUUGCAAUUGGUUUUUUACGAGGAUGUUGGUGAAAUACACGCCUCCCUCAUUGUGAUAUAUUUGAGGGUUUGCCUCAUAUAUUUUGAAAACAUCAGAUUUUAGAUUUUGCUUCAGUUAUGGAUUUUGUUUUCAGGAUUCUCCACUCUAGGGUUGGCACACCAAUAGUAACUAUUAAUUGUUGUUGUUUUCAAAAUUAGCAAACAUUUUGAUAAUUAUUAUGAUGAUGAAGUAGAUAUUUGUUUUUCUGCUAGAAAUCUGCCAUUGAACACAAGUUAGGA